rnacentral:rRNA from 1 species
UACGUAGGUGGCAAGCGUUGUCCGGAUUUACUGGGCGUAAAGAGCGCGCAGGCGGUCGAUCAAGUCGAGUGUGAAAGCCCCCGGCUACAACUGGGGAGGGUCAUUCGAUACUGAUCGACUCGAAGGCAGGAGAGGGUAGUGGAAUUCCCGGUGUAGCGGUGAAAUGCGCAGAUAUCAGGAGGAACACCGGUGGCGAAGGCGGGUCUCUGGGCCGAUACUGACACUGAGGAGCGAAAGCGUGGGGAGCGAACAGG